rnacentral:lncRNA from 1 species
CGCUUCACACUGGCAUCAUUUGACAUGGUCUGACAUUUAAAUGCGAGUCAGUAUGACCCUAGAACAAAAGUGUAUAACAUUCAGAAUAAGAGACUGCAUGGAUUAUCACUUAGCACAGGAACUGAAGUGAGCCAACUGAUGUGUGUUUCAUUCUUCAUGGUAAACGUGGAGAGAAAAAGAGUUUGUACUCAUCUGCCAAACAUAACUAAACAUUUUAUAGACGGCACACACAUUGUCCAUACAAAAACAGGGGAAAAUAUAAAAAUCUUGAAUUAAACCCUCCCAAUUUCAAAACCAAGCGGAGCCACCGUUGGUUGUUUUCAGCAGCACGACAAUCCAAGCCACAUCCUGCAUAAUGGAACCAUGGAGCUGGGUGUCUACUCCACGCCCUAUGUCACUCGUUUGUGCUUCACCAACCCCUGCAAUUCAAAAUUGGCAACUCAAUAAGCCAUUUCCAUCAACACUUUUACAACCACUACACUGAAAUCUACAAGUGGCUGAAAUUGUUCAAGCAUUUGUGCAACAUCCAGAGAAUAAAAUAAUAACCAUGAUAGUUUCCUACCUGAAACUAAAAAAAAUUGAUCUCAUGUUGGGAGUGGACGCAUCAUGCUACCGUACCACAGACUUGGUUGGUGCCGAGCCCUUGCCCUAGCUCGCCGCGGUCUCUCUCUCUCUCUCUCUCUCUCUCUCUCUCUCUCUCUCUCUCUCUCUCUCUCUCUCUCUCUCUCUCUCGCCACAAACGGAAGAAGAAAGGAGGAGAGAGCACUGUGGACACAGCGAGGUUUUCCGGCGCACUAACACCUGCCGCAACAACGACUUUUCCAGAGCACAAACUCUACACCCCCGCCCAUUGCAACGUACCCACGCGGGCUUUAUACUCUGGGCCAGCUCUGGGCAUGAACCCCACGCCUCCUACAUAGCCGGGUGCCCGAUCGGCCCGCGACGAUCUCCACGCUCGCCUUGACCGAUUCGCCAACGGCCUACUCCUACUACGGCGUGUCGCACGCACAUACACACGCGGACCCAAACACUACACACGCAUGCACGCCACGGUCCGGACCGCAUCCGGCGCGCGCACGCACAGGCACCCGACGCAUUCGCCGUGGCUUAUUAGCGAACAGACUUGAUUCAUGGCGUUUGAAGGGACAUGCUGAACUUAAAUAAUUAGAAACAAGGUAUGCAGACUCAUAAUGUAAUCAAAAUCUGGACAAAACAAUGCUACUAUUAACAACAACAUAAUGAAGGUAAAUUAGGUGCUAAAAGAAGGAACAAAUUAUUUACUUUUAUUUGCUAACGGGUUAUCAUUAGGUGAAGACAACAAAGCAACACUUCAAAAAUGAUACAAAUUUUUGACUAUAGGACAUUUUUAAACUUAUACAUACAGAUCCACGCUUUAGUAAUAUAACUCAAGCUCAUGGCAUACCUGCAUGUUGGAAGCUAUCCAUUUCAUAUUAUGCGAGAUAGUUGAUGCUUGAUGGUACCUUCUCUUACACAAAAACUCAAAAGGAUAGAACACUUUUGCAGCUACUUAGUCUGGUCUGUGUAAAAAAGGAAAUAGCCAAACUGAACUUUCUUAGUUGGAACUUAGUACACACCCUGAUGUUCAUUGCUACAAUAUUGAGCGUCAUGCCUGGUUAUAAUUUAGAUUGAAUACCAAGAGUCCAGAACAGAUCUGGGAUUGCCAAG